rnacentral:rRNA from 1 species
AGGGUGUAAACGCUGCGGGCUUGGUGUUGGGGGUCCUUAGUGGGCGCCCAGUGCCGGAGAGAAGUUGUUAAGCCUGCUGCUUGGGGAGUAUGUCCGCAAGGAUGAAACUUAAAGGAAUUGGCGGGGGGAGCACCACAACGGGUGGAGCCUGCGGUUUAAUCGGACUCAACGCCGGGAAUCUCACCGGAUAAGACAGCUGAAUGAUAGUCGGGAUGAAGACUCUACUUGACUAGCUGAGAGGAGGUGCAUGGCGUAGACGUCU